rnacentral:rRNA from 1 species
ACUCAAAUGAAUUGACGGGGGCCCGCACAAGCGGUGGAUCAUGUGGUUUAAUUCGAAGCAACGCGAAGAACCUUACCUGGGUUUGACAUCUCCUGACAUCCGUAGAGAUACGGCUUUCGUAGCAAUACGACAGGAAGACAGGUGCUGCAUGGCUGUCGUCAGCUCGUGUGGUGACAUGUUGGGUUAAGUCCCGCAACGAGCGCAACCCUUGUCCUUAGUUGCCAGCAUUCAGUUGGGCUCUCUAAGGAGACUGCCGUGGUUAACACGGAGGAAGGUGGGGAUGACGUCAAGUCCUCAUGGCCUUUAUAUCCAGGGCGACACACGUGAUACAAUGGGUGGUACAGAGGGGCGCGAAGACGCGAGUCGGAGCCAAUCUCAAAAAGCCACUCUCAGUUCGGAUUGGAGUCUGCAACUCGACUCCAUGAAGUUGGAAUCGCUAGUAAUCGCGGAUCAGAACGCCGCGGUGAAUACGUUCCCGGGCCUUGCACACACCGCCCGU